GAUUAUGGCUCAGGAUGAACGCUAGCUACAGGCUUAACACAUGCAAGUCGUGGGCAGCAUGGUGUUGCUGCAACAACCGAUGGCGACCGGCGCACGGGUGAGUAACGCGUAUCCAACCUGGCCCUUAGUAGGGGAUAGCCCGGCGAAAGUCGGAUUAAUACCCUAUGUUUUCCCAUGAGAGCAUUUGAAAGGGAACAAAGAUUCAUCGCUAGGGGAUGGGGAUGCGUCCGAUUAGCUUGCCGGCGGGGUAACGGCCCACCGGGGCGACGAUCGGUAGGGGUUCUGAGAGGAAGGUCCCCCACAUUGGAACUGAGACACGGUCCAAACUCCUACGGGAGGCAGCAGUGAGGAAUAUUGGUCAAUGGGCGAGAGCCUGAACCAAGCCAAGUAGCGUGAGGGAUGACGGCCCUACGGGUUGUAAACCUCUUUUGUACGGGAAUAAAGUGCGCCACGUGUGGCGUUUUGUAUGUACCGUAAGAAUAAGGACCGGCUAAUUCCGUGCCAGCCGCCGC
rnacentral:rRNA from 1 species